GACGAACGCUGGCGGCGUGCCUAAUACAUGCAAGUAGAACGCAGUUGCGAACGGGUGAGUAACGCGUAGGUAACUGCCUCAUGGCGGGGGAUAACUAUUGGAAACGAUAGCUAAUACCGCAUACUGAGAGAUGGACCUGCGGUGUAUUAGCUAGUUGGUGAGGUAAAGGCUCACCAAGGAGAAGAUACAGAGCCGACCUUGGAGGGAGGUCGGCCCAACCGGGACUGAGACACGGGCCAGACUCCUACGGGGGGUAGCAGUAGGGAAUCUUCGGCAAUGGACGGAAGUCUGAACGAACCACGCCGCGUGAUUGAAGAAGGUUUUCGGGUUGGAAAGCUCUGUUGUGAGAGAAGCGGUAACUACCGAGAAAGGGCCGGCUAACUACGUGCCAGCAGCCGCGGUAAUAC
rnacentral:rRNA from 1 species